UUUCAAUAUUUCGAUAUAACAAAGCUCUUAUAAACAAGAUAGGUAUUCCUACAUAGCUGGUGGACCCACGGCAAAUGGAUCAUAAAGUCUUCAAAAAAGAAUAGAUACGAUUGCAUUGCAUGUAGUAACAGAUGCUACCAUACCAGCACUAAUGCACCGGAUCCCAUCAGAACUCCGCAGUUAAGCGUGCUUGGGAGAGAGUAGUACUAGGAUGGGUGACCUCAUCGGAAUGUCCUC
rnacentral:rRNA from 1 species